GGGAAAGGAAGGAGAGGGGAAGGGAGAGGAGCGCUCGUGGGCUGCCGCGGGUGCUUGGGCCGCUGCUGAGAAAGGAUUCGCGGCUUGGGCCAGCCUGCUUGCGGCCCGAGAGAGAGAGAGAGGGGAGGGUUUGGGGGUCUUCAGGCCGAAUAGAGAGAGUAGGGGGACUGGCCUUUGGCCCACAAAGCAGAGGGGGAAGUUUUUCCUUUUUCCUUUGUUUGUUUUUUUCUUUUAUUUCCAAACCAUUUUCAAAUCAGUUUGAAACCAUUUUGAACUUUGCUCAAAGUCACACAUUACAAUGAAAAUAAAUGCUCCAAAAUGAAUGCACAAACAAGUUGCU
rnacentral:lncRNA from 1 species